UCUUGAUAUCAAUAAAUAUUCAUUUGGGUGAUCCUUCAAAUCACCGAUCCCAGCUAAUAAAACUACCGGGCUGGAUUCGACGCUAAAAUGCUGAUCAACUGCAAUAAUUAUCAUUUUUGAAAAAUGUUUGAAGAGGACCCAUCAUUGGCAUUCAUGUAGCGGAGAACCGCAAAACUUUCCCGCGCAAAUGCGUAUCACUGAUUUUCAUGAAUUCUUCAUCGCACGGCAGAUAUCAAUAAAAGAUAUCAAAAAGUAUUCGCGCGAGACUAAUUAAAGAUUGUUACUUUCAAAAGGAAAAGUAAAUAGAGCGUUGCCGCACGAUGAAGGAAACUGAGCAAAGAUGAUAUACGGAUGGAAGUAAAGGCAAGACUGAACGAUGACUACGAGGACACGCGAGUCAGAUGGUAGAAUCUGAUAUUUCGCAGGCGCGCGCCGCAGGGAUGUUUUAAGGCGCCCUUGUUAAAAGUAAUUGGAUCGCGCUGAUAUCUUACCAUGCCAAAAAUUAUCUGAUGAAAUCCCUUUCUUGCUCAAAACUAUUAAAAAAAUCAAUCAUCUUAGAUCAAUCAAGAAAAGUUUGAGUCACAAGAAACUCUAUGUAUCUUUGUCGGACGGUAAACAAAAUUUUUAAGAUUAAAAUUUAUGUGUCAAUUGUUUUAAUUGUG